UGGUGCUACUGCUUGUUUGGUGCUGGUUUAGCUGGUGCUAAUGCUGGUGCUGAUGCUGGUUUAGCUUGUGUUCAGUAGCUAACCAGCACCAAAACACAACAUAUGCUGGUCUUGCUGGUAUGCUGCUUUGUUCAGCAGGGCUAGCUUGAUUUAAUAUGAGGCUAGCUAGGAUGAUUAGCUAGGAUGCUGCUAUGCAGUUGCUAUGUAAUUGUUAGCUACAAGAUCAGAGUAUGCAGUAAACAUGAAGGUUUUGAUGCUUGAAACUUCAAUAUAUUUAAAUUCAUUAUUAGUUGGGAAAACAUUUAUGCAGCAUUUUUCGGACAAUAAUGUAAUGCAUAAUGAUAUUCAUGUUUUUUACAUCUGGGAACUGAUACACAGUAUACUUUAAUGCACACUGCUGUUGUUUUUAUGUGAAUAUUGAUGCAUCUUUUCUUUUAUCUAUGUUUUAGACAAGAUAAAUAGGAUGUUGACCUUUGAUUUUUCCCAGCUGGUGCUUUACUGCAACAUCUAUGUGAAUUGUUUGCCAUUUAAGAGGUUCACAAAUAGUCACUAGGAUAAUGACACUGAUGAUAGUGUGUCUGUACCUAUUGAUUGAAACCUUUAUUGCCCCGAAGGGAAUUUGUUCUGCACUCAAGGAAGCCACAUUAACAAACAUCCAACGACAUGGCAAACAUAAAAAACCAAAACAUAAACAACACAAGACAAUAAUUAUAGCAAUAAUAAUGGCAUACAAUAAGUCCAAUAUCUAAAUAAAUCGAUAGCUAAUUAAAAAUGUCUAAUUAAAAAUGUCUUUAAAAAAUUAUUUUUUGUGCCUCUGUCUGAUCUGUUCAGUAACUGAAUGCUCCUCGGUACAAAUGAUGUAAUGGCACGUUUCGUUUUUGUUGAUGGCAUUCGAAAUCUACAUCCAGAUGGGAGUAAGAAGAACUCUAAGAAAAGUGGGUGGGAUGGAUCAUCCAGUAUCCUCAAUGCCAGAUUGAGGGUAUACUGGUCUGUAAGAUUGGAGAUGGUUUUAACAUCAGAUCCAGUAAUUUUUCUGCCCAUUUUAGUCACCUUAUCCAGCAUAUUCCUGUUCUAUCAGUGCCAUCUUAUCACUGUGUAAUAUUUUAGGCCAGAGCUUCCCAAACUUAACACUGGUAAGCCCCCCCAAAAACAUAGCAAAAGCUCCACGACCCCCCCCCCCCAUUUGUAGUAUAACAUAUAUUUUUAAUAAAGCUGAUUGUCUCUUUGCACAUUACCAACAUUUAAUAACCAGUUUUUAAGAAUCUCAUGUGAAUCAUGAGAACUAUGGAAAGUAUUUUAUAUUCUGUUGAAAGAUGACGUAAAAAUUCUUUACAAAUAAAUGAAGAGUUUCGUUGCAAAACGAGAUAAAUCCAUUUUUUUUACAUUUUUGUGAAAAUAUGUUUAUUAUUAUGUUAUCAUGUUAUUAUUUUGUUUUAUGGUGCUACUUAGCUGUAUUUUUUAAGUUAUGAAGGUUUAAAUCAAAACAAAACAACUGCAGUUGAAUUGAAAUUAAUUGGAAUGCACAACCAAAAAACAAGAUUUCUGAACAAUUAAAAAAAUGGUGGUUAUCUCGUUUUGCAACGAAACUCUUCAUAUAUAAAACCAUAACACUAUAUACUUUCUGCAAAGUAUUUAUCAUUAUAACACAAAGGGGUGGUUUCCCGGACAGGGAUUAGACUAGUCCUAGACUAAAAUAAAUAUAAGAGCUGUCCAAACUGAAAACAACAUGCACUGACAUAUCUUAAAAUACAUCAGUGCCCUUUGUUUUUCCUUAAAAUGCACGCCAGUAUGUUUUUAGUAAGGCAUUUUUAUUCAAACUAGUUAUAUUUCAUAAUUAAACUAAGGCCUUGUCCUGUCUUAAGGUAAUCCCAGUCUGGGAAACCACCCAAAAGUAUGUAACAGAAGCUACAUAGCUCACAAAUAGUUCAUAAAUCUAUUGCAAUGAAUUACAUAACUAUGUUAAAAAAUAUAAAAAAAUAUAUAUAAAAACGUUUAAGCAAUGUAUCUCACCUCAGUAUAAUAAAAAAUGAAAUAAAUAUAAACAAAUAUACAAUAUAUACAUAAAUACGCUUUAAUAUCACAUGAUUUUUUUAUUUAGCCUAGUCAAGGUCCCCCGCAGUACUGCGACGGCCCACUGGGGGGCAGCGGCCCACAGUUUGGGAAGCACUGUUUAAGGCAAAGAAUUUAUCAAUUUAUUGUAGAAUUGUCCAUUUUGGGCAUUUCUCAAAGUUAAUCAAUUAAAUAAAAUAACGAACAAAAUGAUAAGCAUUUUAUAUAUAUAAGAGCAAAUGAGUUCAUAUGGCCAUUGAUAGCAUUAUAUUUAUUUUAUUUUCAUUUAUAUCACUGUUUAAGGAAGAUUUUCUUGUUUUAUUAUUUUUAAUAUUAUGGUUUAAUAUUGUCUGCCCCGUAUCCAAAGCUCAAAUGUGAUAAUAUUUUAUAUAGCUAUAUUUUUGAAAUAUUUUUGUUACACGACUAGUAUUCAGGUAUUAGGUAACAUCACGUGAUUAAUUCAAACCAAUGAGACGACAGCUUUGGACGAGAGUCUGUAUAGCUAAUGAGCUUGCUUCCGGUUCUCACUGGUUUUGCCUUCACUGAGCGAGCGCCACUUUCUCAGCUAUCUCUUGAGACAUUUUUGUGGUAAGUCAUUUAUAUAACAAUCUCUGUUGCAACAUAAUACUUUUUUUCUGAACAGUUAACCUUGCACAUGAUAUUUAAGUAGUAAUGUUUAAUUUUUCUUUCUUUUGCUCUUUUGAAAACUUUAACUGCUUUAGCUAAACCUCAGCCAAAUUCCUGGUUUUGCUGGGCAACAGCACCUAUUUCAUACAAUUUUUUAUAGCGAACCCAAAGGCUCUUUUCAGAGCCAUCCACAUUGCGUCACUGGUAAGUCAUUUUCAAUUACUUUUGAAUCAGUAAUUGCCUAAUGACAUUAUAACAUUGUUUUUCUGUUAAUGUAACAGAUAUUGUUUACCAAUGUUUAUUGUUGUUUGUCAGUUUUGGCCAUUUCAGCAUGUUUGAAAUAGGGGUGUAACGGUUCAAAUUACUCACGUUUCGGUGCGUAUCACGGCUUAGGGUCACAGUUUCAGUACACAUUGGUCACAACAGGCUGCUUUACAAAAAUAAAAAUCUAAGCCGUUUUUAACCUCUGCCAAAAUCAACAUUUUCACUUAAGAGCACUUGUAUUAUUAUACUAUAUACCAGCUUUACUGUGCAAUUCAAUAUGAACAUAAAAUAGCUUAGAACACUGGGUUACUUUUUAUAUUCUAUGCCGCUAUCUUCAAGUUUUUUUUGCAAGAAGAUAGGUUUGUUAAAAUUCAAACACAGAAGGCAAUUUGUGCUGUUUCUGUCUCACCUGCGAUCGUGUGCUAUCAACAAAACCCUGGUGAUGACGCGUAAAGCGACUCGUCAUAUUAGAUGUAUUGCCUUAGGCAUACAGCACUUGCAAAUUUUACAGUUUUGUCCACAUUUUCUUGAGCAUCGCUGCUGCAGUAGACUUAAAUGCAGCUGGGGAUGACUCUGUUAGCGUCUUUUCUCCUUCGUUUGCCGUGCUAAAAGGUCUGUGAAACACACAAACACGCUGAACUGAGGAUGAACUGUGAGGUUGGCAACAAAUUUGCAUACUUCGAGUUGAUUGGACAGGUACUCUCACCUUAACACAUGCAGAGAUUAUUCAGAACCAUACAUUAGCUUUUUAUGCAUCGUUUUUUCACCAAACUAUAAUACAAAUGCGUGGUCGAAUUAAACAGGGUGCACGUGCGUCCCAAACUGUGGGCGGAAAACAGGACGAUUCGAUUCUUUACCGAGAACCGCUA